CUUGGGCCGCCGGGAACCUCGCAGAGCGGCGGGGUGGCCCUGGCGAGGCGCGGUUGUUGGGGGUUCGCUCGAGCCUCACGACGCCCGCGACUGGGGACUCGGAACCUGGGCCAGGCUGGGACGAGGCCGCGCGGGAGGGCGCGCUGGGCGGACGCUGGGGCCGCGGAGCCCAACCGCCCUUGUCCUGGACGCCCCUUGGCGGUCCGCACUGGCGGGUGCCCUCUCCCGAGGGGAACUGAGGCGGGGCGCCUGCCACCAUUCGUGAUUUUCCGUGACUCACCCUCUCAACAGUGUCCCGUCAGCCCCCGCUUUCUGGAAUUAAGAUGAUUUUCCAUGGGCAUUAUAGUCAGAGGAGGUUUUCUGUGAGACAUCUGGGAAAGGUGACUCAAUGAUCACUCAUAUUGUUCUAUGAUGUUAUACAUUUAACCGGAAUACUGGUGAACAGCUUUUAUAUCUUGGAAUUUUUUCCCAUUUUUGAAUCAGAAAUUUAGGACCAAGAAUCUUCUGUCACAGAACCUAUUACUUUGAGGAGUGAACUUAUAUUAACGGUGCUAAACCGUACAUGAACGACUUGGUAGAUGAAAACUUUGGAAAAUAGGAACAUUUCAUGUCAUCACAUGUAUCCUCCAGCAUUGGGGAAAAUUCAACAGUUGCCUUAAGGCGGGAGUUUAAUUGAGGACAUUUACUAAAAAGUUACUUAUUCUGUUUGAAAUUCUCUUCUGAUAAACAUCUUCCCGGGAUAACGAACAUCUCCAGGAUGUGAGAGCCGAGCGCGUGUCCGCGGAGUGCUUGAGCAACGCAGAAUGGCUUCGGUGCUGCGUUCCUUAGACCCCGUGCGGACCCUGCUGAGCCCUCAGCAUCUGUGAAGUGAGUAACCUAUGGUCAGCAUUUUGUUGGGUCUUGUUUUAAAAACUCACUCAGUCCCGGCGCGGUGGCUCACGCUUCUAAUCCCAGCACUUUGAGAGGCUGAGGCGGGCGGACCACGAGGUCAGGAGAUCGAGACCAUCCUGCUUAACACGGUGAAACCCCAUCUCUACUAAGAAAAACACAAAAAAAUUAGCCGGGCGUGGUGGCGGGUGCCUGUAGUCCCAGCUACUGGAGAGGCUGAGGCAGGAGAAUGGCGUGAACCUGGGAGGUGGAGCUUGCAGUGAGCUGAGAUGGCGCCACUGCACUCCAGCCUGGGCAACAGAGCGAGACUCUGUC
rnacentral:lncRNA from 10 species